rnacentral:rRNA from 1 species
CCUUCGGGAUUAGUGGCGGACGGGUGAGUAACACGUGGGAACGUGCCCUUUGGUUCGGAACAACUCAGGGAAACUUGAGCUAAUACCGGAUGUGCCCUUCGGGGGAAAGAUUUAUCGCCAUUGGAGCGGCCCGCGUCUGAUUAGCUAGUUGGUGAGGUAAAGGCUCACCAAGGCGACGAUCAGUAGCUGGUCUGAGAGGAUGAUCAGCCACAUUGGGACUGAGACACGGCCCAAACUCC